AGCGAACGCUGGCGGCAGGCUUAACACAUGCCAGUCGAGCGGGCACUUCCGGGUUUCAGCGGCGGCCGGGUGAGUAACGCGUGGGAACGUGCCCUCUGGUUCUGAAUAACACAGGGAAACUUGAUCUAAUACCGGAUACGCCUACCGGGGGAAAGGCCUGCCGGCGGGGGAUCGGCUCGCGUCUGAUUAGCGUGGUGGUGAGGUAACCGCACACCCAGGCGACGAUCAGUAGCUGGUCUGAGAGGAUGAUCAGCCACACUGGGGCUGAGACACGGACCAGACUCGUACGGAAGGGAGGAGUGGAGAAUAUUGGAGGAUGGGCGCAAGCCUGAUCCAGCCGUGCCGGGUGAGAGAUGAAGGCCUUAGGGUAGUGAAGCUGUUUUAUCCGGGACGAUAAUGACGGUACCGGAGGAAUAAGCCCCGGCUAACUACGUG
rnacentral:rRNA from 1 species